AUGCUUGUUCCCGUGCAGCCAAGAUGGAUCCCUUCUCCUAAAGGAACUGCAAAAAUCCGAGUCGAUGGGGCCGUCUCCAGAGAUGGAAACGUUGGUUCGUUUAGUGCCGUUUGCAGAAAUUCAUCAGGAACUUUUUUGGGUGAUUCGGUUAUCAAGAUCCAUGGAGUCACGAAUCCGGCAACGCUUGAAGCGCUAGCGUGUCGCGAGGCGCUUGCGCUCGUGGCAGACAUGGACCUUGCUCGAAUCCUCAUCGCGAGCGACAACCAAGGGGUAGUGAAAGACAUCAAGAACUACACCGGGGGAGCCUACGCCAGCACCACCAGGGAGAUUGUGGAGACAUCAACUAGUUUUGAUAGUUGCACCUCAUCUUUGAAGGUAGGGCCACUAAUGUUGAGGCACAUAGCCUCGCUAAGCAUGCUUUUGGUUUGGAUUAUGGGCGCCAUGUGUGGCUGUUAA
rnacentral:rRNA from 1 species